UCUUUGGAAAAAACAAAUCGAUUGCAGAAUUCGGUAGAUUCACGAAAGAUGAUCAGAAACACUUAAUUAACAAUGGCGUGAAUUUUGACAAACAGUUUAUACAAGUAUUGAUCUUUAUCUCUGCUUUUGAUACUACACAAUACAUUUUUCAGAUAUGAGUAGCAUGCAUGUUGAAGAAGACAACUUGAUAAUAUGAUUCUGUCGAAGUAAGGAGACAGCAGAGGUAGCACUCGGCUGGUUUGGUGCAGUUUUCGCCAGUAUUACCUGCAGCAGCUGCAGCACGAGGCCAGAUGGUUUGCUCGAUAUCAGAGGCAUCGAUACUUUCUCCCCACAUGCACACCUCACCACCAAUGACCAAUUUUUGCUGCUCAGGCGUGGAGAUGUUUGUAAGGGGCUCAUUCAUGUAGAACUUCUGCCAUGGGACAUCCAAGUGAUCCAAGUACCACUUCUCCUGGUUGCUCACAAUGCAUCUCAUUCCGGCCGCCACCACCUUCUGUGCUACUCCACCACCAAGCCUGCAAGCACACAAGGAAAAUUGUCUUAUGACACCAACACAAUCGAUCCGGAUCGCUGUACACA